GUCUUUUUUUUUUCUCCUCAUCCCCUACCUCCAGCGUGUUCUUCCUGGAGACCAAUCCCGAUCCAAAUCCUCCGUGGAUUCGGCUCGGAUCUUGCAGCUCUUGCCUCCCACCUCCAUAUAAAUACUCCCCACGUCCGGAUCGACUGAGUUUUGGCAAAAUCGUAGCCUCCUGUGCCCUAGGUCGAUUUCGCGAUCUCGCCGGAGUUCCACCGCUGUUGACCUCCGCCGUCGUCGCUUCCGUCGCCACCAUCGGGAUUCACCGAACCGAGUGCUACAACCUCGACCAGAAGCAGAGCACCGCCGCCGUCGCUCCAGUCGCCCAUCGACGCCACCACAGGGCGUGAUCCUCCCAGAAGAGGCCCCCUUUGUCUUCACAGGAGAGUUCCGCGACCGCCCGUCCUUUCCUCCACCACCAGAGCAGGCGCCACCAUCGCCGCCCCGCGCCGUUCUUCCUCAAGUCCGACGGCCAGCCUCUGUUCUUCUCCGAUUGUCCGGACUGCGAAGCGGAUCAGAAUUAAUUGUUAGAGUACUUCAACACCGUUCAAGGCAAGUUUGCACAUUUGAUUUUGCUCAUCCUAUAUUCUGCUAUGCAUGUGUGGUUUUUAUGCUAUGAUAUAUGUUUGGUUGAUCAUUAUAUUUCGUGCUGUCAUGUUUUGGUACUGAUUGUGUUAUGUGAUGGUGUGAUCAACUUGCUAUAAUAGACGUGGGCAUGUGUCGAGUGAUCCAUGAAAGUGGUGAGUGUUUAUAGCCGUAGGCUCGGGAUUAUUAACCAGGUGAAUGCGUCACUGGCAGAGCGCUCUAUUGUCCCUAGAGAAUGCGUCAUUGACAGAGCGCAGUUGAGGCGAGCUUUAGUUUCGGAACUUAAAUCAGGUGAAUGCGUCCUUGCCAGAGUGCUCUAUUGUUCUUAGAGAAUGCACCACUGACAGAGCGCACUUGAGAUACUUCUGAAGUUCUUGUCAUGUUUACUUAGAAUCUUUGGGGUUAUCUUGGGCGAAUGAAUUAGGGGCGGUUGUGAGUUCAGGUAGUGGAGGUAGGUGAAGACUUUCUUCUCCAAAUUAACUUGAGUGUUUUGUUUGUCAUACUUUACUUGUGGAUGUAGGUUUGCUAUAUCAUAUUGUGUGAUUUGCCAAUACAAUCAAUGUAUUGACCCUUGUGGCUGCAACUUAUCAUGUUGCAGGAUUUUCAGAUGAUCAUUGAGAUACAGUAGGGUCGCGAGUCUUCACUCAGCAUUUCGCCAGUGGGCAUUGAUGGGACUCAUCAUUUGAUUAUGCUACAUUUCCGUUGUUAUUAUUGAGUAAAGCUAGUUAUGUACUAUGAGUUUGUAAUACUUUAUAAAUUCUGGAUCAUACGUUAUAGUAAAUGAUGCAUUUGUUAUUUGAUAUUCAUAUGUACUGUGUGUGCUAGCGAAUCGAUCCAGGGACUAGCACAGUGAGCACAGAGAUAUCGAAUCUUUUCAUUUGAUAUUCAUAUUAACUGUAGGUUGUGACCCUAGAACUUUUCAUCUGUACUAGUUUUCUUAGGGAACUUUUCAUCCACUCCAACAUCUUGUGAAGAUCGGAGAUGGCAUGUUAAUGCUCAUGUUAAUCAUGUCAGAUUGAAGAUGGCAUGUUAGCGCAUUUUACAAAUCCUGCAUACCAAAUAGGCAUGUAGUAGUGUUCAAAACUGCAUCUAGGCACUAACACGUUUUCUUCUUUUGCAGAUAAGA